AGUGAACGCUGGCGGUAGGCCUAACACAUGCAAGUCGAACGGCAGCACAGGAGAGCUUGCUCUCUGGGUGGCGAGUGGCGGACGGGUGAGGAAUACAUCGGAAUCUGCCCAGUCGUGGGGGAUAACGUAGGGAAACUUACGCUAAUACCGCAUACGACCUUCGGGUGAAAGAGGGGGAUCGCAAGACCUCUCGCGAUUGGAUGAGCCGAUGUCGGAUUAGCUAGUUGGCGGGGUAAUGGCCCACCAAGGCGACGAUCCGUAGUUGGUCUGAGAGGAUGAUCAGCCACACUGGAACUGAGACACGGUCCAGACUCCUACGGGAGGCAGCAGUGGGGAAUAUUGGACAAUGGGCGCAAGCCUGAUCCAGCCAUACCGCGUGGGUGAAGAAGGCCUUCGGGUUGUAAAGCCCUUUUGUUGGGAAAGAAAUCUUUCAGGCUAAUACCCUGGGAGGAUGACGGUACCCAAAGAAUAAGCACCGGCUAACUUCGUG
rnacentral:rRNA from 1 species